UACGAAGGGGCUAGCGUUGUUCGGAAUUACUGGGCGUAAAGCGCGCGUAGGCGGUGAUCUUUGUCAGAGGUGAAAGCCCGGGGCUCAACUCCGGAAUUGCCUUUGAAACGGGAUCGCUUGAGUCCGAGAGAGGAUGGCGGAAUUCCUAGUGUAGAGGUGAAAUUCGAUAGAUAUUAGGAAGAACACCGGUGGCGAAGGCGGCCAUCUGGCUCGGUACUGACGCUCAGGCGGCGAAAGCGUGGGGAGCAAACAGGG
rnacentral:rRNA from 1 species